GCGGGAGAUGCUAGCGUUGUUCGGAAUCACUGGGCUUAAAGCGCGUGUAGGCGGCAAGGUAAGUACCUUGUGAAAUCCCUCGUCUCAAUCGAGGAAUUGCUUGGUAUACUGCCCUGCUUGAGGCAGGUAGGGGUGCCUGGAACUCUAGGUGGAGCGGUGAAAUGCGUAGAUAUCUAGAGGAACGCCCGUGGCGAAAGCGGGGCACUGGGCCUGUUCUGACGCUGAGACGCGAAAGCGUGGGUAGCAAACGGGA
rnacentral:rRNA from 1 species